rnacentral:rRNA from 1 species
GUGGGGAAUUUUCCGCAAUGGGCGAAAGCCUGACGGAGCAACGCCGCGUGGAUGAAGAAGUCUUUCGGGACGUAAAAUCCUUUCAGCAGGGACGAAGCGAGUGACGGUACCUGCAGAAGAAGCAUCGGCUAACUACGUGCCAGCAGCCGCGGUAAUACGUAGGAUGCAAGCGUUGUCCGGAAUUAUUGGGCGUAAAGCGAACGUAGGCGGCUAGAUAAGUUUGGUCUUAAAGACCGGGGCUCAACCUCGGGAAUGGAUCGAAAACUGUUUAGCUAGAGGAUGUUAGAGGAAAGUGGAAUUCCAAGUGUAGCGGUGAAAUGCGUAGAUAUUUGGAGGAACACCGGUGGCGAAAGCGACUUUCUGGGGCAUUCCUGACGCUGAGGUUCGAAAGCUCGGGGAGCAAACAGGAUUAGAAACCCCUGUAGUCC